rnacentral:piRNA from 1 species
UAAUGUUGAAUAUUGUGAAAGAGCCUGGUGU